rnacentral:rRNA from 1 species
UCCAGACUCCUACGGGAGGCAGCAGUGGGGAAUAUUGCACAAUGGGCGCAAGCCUGAUGCAGCCAUGCCGCGUGUAUGAAGAAGGCCUUCGGGUUGUAAAGUACUUUCAGCAGUGAGGAAGGAGGUAUCGUUAAUAGCGGUAUCUUUUGACGUUAGCUGCAGAAGAAGCACCGGCUAACUCCGUGCCAGCAGCCGCGGUAAUACGGAGGGUGCGAGCGUUAAUCGGAAUUACUGGGCGUAAAGCGCAUGCAGGUGGUUUGUUAAGUCAGAUGUGAAAGCCCGGGGCUCAACCUCGGAAUUGCAUUUGAAACUGGCAGGCUAGAGUACUGUAGAGGGGGGUAGAAUUUCAGGUGUAGCGGUGAAAUGCGUAGAGAUCUGAAGGAAUACCGGUGGCGAAGGCGGCCCCCUGGACAGAUACUGACACUCAGAUGCGAAAGCGUGGGGAGCAAACAGGAUUAGAUACCCUGGUAGUCCACGCCGUAAACGAUGUCUACUUGGAGGUUGUGGCCUUGAGCCGUGGCUUUCGGAGCUAACGCGUUAAGUAGACCGCCUGGGGAGUACGGUCGCAAGAUUAAAACUCAAAUGAAUUGACGGGGGCCCGCACAAGCGGUGGAGCAUGUGGUUUAAUUCGAUGCAACGCGAAGAACCUUACCUACUCUUGACAUCCAGAGAACUUAGCAGAGAUGCUUUGGUGCCUUCGGGAACUCUGAGACAGGUGCU